rnacentral:rRNA from 1 species
AUUGAACGCUGGCGGCAGGCCUAACACAUGCAAGUCGAACGGUAGCACAGAGAGCUUGCUCUCGGGUGACGAGUGGCGGACGGGUGAGUAACGUCUGGGAAACUGCCCGAUGGAGGGGGAUAACUACUGGAAACGGUAGCUAAUACCGCAUAACGUCGCAAGACCAAAGUGGGGGACCUUCGGGCCUCACACCGUCGGAUGUGCCCAGAUGGGAUUAGCUAGUAGGUGUGGUAAUGGCUCACCUAGGCGACGAUCCCUAGCUGGUCUGAGAGGAUGACCAGCCACACUGGAACUGAGACACGGUCCAGACUCCUACGGGAGGCAGCAGUGGGGAAUAUUGCACAAUGGGCGCAAGCCUGAUGCAGCCAUGCCGCGUGUAUGAAGAAGGCCUUCGGGUUGUAAAGUACUUUCAGCGGGGAGGAAGGCGGUGAAGUUAAUAGCUUCACCGAUUGACGUUACCCGCAGAAGAAGCACCGGCUAACUCCGUGCCAGCCGCCGCCGUAA